GGUAACGUACGGUGUUGGGUCGGANACGCUCCGCUAAACCCAUAAGCGAAAUGAAAGUGAAGGCCACCUUUGCGGGGCCGAGGGAGGACGGAGACGGAGACGCCUCCUGCACUCCCGGGGCGUCUGAUUCCUCACUGCGAGGGAAGGCGCACCCAGAGCGCACACGUUGGGACCCGAAAGUGGUGAACUAUAAA
rnacentral:rRNA from 1 species